CGGUAAGCGUGUGGUGAAAGCCCGGGGCUCAACCCCGGAACUGCCCUCGAAACUAGGUAGCUAGAAUCUUGGAGAGGUCAGUGGAAUUCCGAGUGUAGAGGUGAAAUUCGUAGAUAUUCGGAAGAACACCAGUGGCGAAGGCGACUGACUGGACAAGUAUUGACGCUGAGGUGCGAAAGCGUGGGGAGCAAACAG
rnacentral:rRNA from 1 species